GAUGAACGCUGGCGGCGUGCCUAAUACAUGCAAGUCGAGCGCAGGACCAAGGAGCUUGCUCCUUGGAACUGAGCGGCGGACGGGUGAGUAACACGUAGGCAACCUACCCAUCAGACCGGGAUAACCACGGGAAACCGUGGCUAAUACCGGAUGAUCCUUUGAGACACAAGUCUUAAAGUUGAAAGGCGCUUUUGGUGCCGUUGAUGGAUGGGCCUGCGGCGCAUUAGCUAGUUGGUGAGAUAGUGGCUCACCAAGGCGACGAUGCGUAGCCGACCUGAGAGGGUGAUCGGCCACACUGGGACUGAGACACGGCCCAGACUCCUACGGGAGGCAGCAGUAGGGAAUCUUCCGCAAUGGACGCAAGUCUGACGGAGCAACGCCGCGUGAGCGAAGAAGGGUUUCGGCUCGUAAAACUCUGUUGUUAAGGAAGAAUGACACAUGGAGUAACUG
rnacentral:rRNA from 1 species